AGAUGUAACAUUGACCUUAAAUGGUAAAAGCUCCCCAGAGUGAAGAGAGGCUGGCCAGAGGAGGAAAGGAGAAUAACUCAGUUUUAGACAGGGUCUCGCACUGUCACCCAGGCUGGAGUGCAGUGGUGCAACCCCACCUCCCGGGUUCAAGCAAUUCUCAUGCCUCAGCCUCCCAAGUAGCUGGGAUUACAGAGAUUCCAUCAAGAAGACUUCUGCACUGGGUUUGAGGCUCUGACCAUCCACAGUCCUGGGUCCUAUUCUCAACUCCAAAAACACCGCAAGGAGAGUGGUGGACUUCCUCUCAAGAGGAUUGGGCAUCUGUGUCUGGUGAAGUCUUUAAGGAGGCCCAAUAAAUAACACCUCUUUCCUUCACUGAAGCUUUAAGGCUUGUUGGGAAUUCAGAGACUAAUAUCACCCGUAUGACUGAUGAAGCUGGUGUUGGAAAGUGUUUGGAUCAACAGCCUGUGGAGCCCAGGCCUCUUGGAGCAUCUUUGGGGCUGACGCAGCGGAGGUUCCGGGCACACGUGGCCACUCCCAGCA
rnacentral:lncRNA from 10 species